AAACCGAAGCUAAUACCGGAUAGGAUCUUCUCCUUCAUGGGAGAUGAUUGAAAGAUGGUUUCGGCUAUCACUUACAGAUGGGCCCGCGGUGCAUUAGCUAGUUGGUGAGGUAACGGCUCACCAAGGCAACGAUGCAUAGCCGACCUGAGAGGGUGAUCGGCCACACUGGGACUGAGACACGGCCCAGACUCCUACGGGAGGCAGCAGUAGGGAAUCUUCCGCAAUGGACGAAAGUCUGACGGAGCAACGCCGCGUGAGUGAUGAAGGCUUUCGGGUCGUAAAACUCUGUUGUUAGGGAAGAACAAGUACGAGAGUAACUGCUUGUACCUUGACGGUACCUAACCAGAAAGCCACGGCUAACUACGUGCCAGCAGCCGCGGUAAUACGUAGGUGGCAAGCGUUAUCCGGAAUUAUUGGGCGUAAAGCGCGCGCAGGC
rnacentral:rRNA from 2 species